AGCAUGUGGUUUAAUCGAAGCAACGCGAAGAACCUUACCUGGGUUUGAACUGCAGUGGAAGACGCCAGAGAUGGCGUCGCCCUUCGGGGGCCGCUGUGGAGGUGCUGCAUGGCUGUCGUCAGCUCGUGUCGUGAGAUGUUGGGUUAAGUCCCGCAACGAGCGCAACCCUUGCUCAUAGUUGCCAGCGGUUCGGCCGGGCACUCUAUGGGGACUGCCGGUGAUAAACCGGAGGAAGGUGGGGAUGACGUCAAGUCCUCAUGGCCCUUAUGGGUAGGGCUUCACACGUCAUACAAUGGUCGGUACAGAGGGUCGCCAACCCGCGAGGGGGAGCCAAUCCCACAAAGCCGAUCGUAGUCCGGAUUGCAGUCUGCAACUCGACUGCAUGAAGUCGGAAUCGCUAGUAAUCGUGGAUCAGCAUGUCACGGUGAAUACGUUCCCGGGUCUU
rnacentral:rRNA from 1 species